AAAAUGCGAGAGGGGGGCGCAAUUCAUCGGUGGCCAGGUGAAUCCCACACAGAAAUGCAUCGGUUUUGAACGAGAGCCUAAAAUUGAUGAAGGGCCGGGGGAGCUGACACGACAGACCAUAAGAAGAGGGCAGCAGAUGAGCUUCUGAUGGUGCUCGUGGAGCGGCGAGGCCUGGGCCAAGAUGGAUAUUUGAUUGGCUAACGCGCAGAGGCGGGUCUCGGCGCCCCGUUCCCCUUCUCUUCUCCUUCCUCUCGGUCUCCCUCAGCCUUGACGGAACCAGACCACCCAUCGGGGACGCCUCUGAUCAAUGCAGUCAUUAUCUUUGCGGCGCACGCUCGCACAGACGUGGGGGACAAAUGAGGGAGAGAUGUGCUAUGACUGGGUCAGAGCGGUGGCAAAUGUAAAUGCGUCUGCUGAAAUAUGCUGUGAAUGUCGCACCAUUAGCCAGGCUGCGGAGCGAGCCGAUACUCUGGCCUUAGGUACAAUAACAAAUUCUACUUUUUUUCUCUCUCCUUUCACUGUCUCCUUCCUCCCUUUACUUUCUCUUCUCAUUUGCUUCCGACAAAAUGCGUAAUAACUCCCACUGUGAGACUUUCCUGUACCUGUCUGCACAGACUCCCAUGUUUUUCUUUUUUUUUUGGUGUAUUCAUCCACGAUUCCUGUCUGUUAGCUCUGCACCACCUGUGUUUGCCCAAGAGGUGGGAGGUGUUUGCUAAAGCAACACAAAUAAAUUAAAAAGCACAAGAAGUUGGAAAUGAAAAGGACUGAUGGGAGGUGGAGGUGCAGCAAAGAUCCUGAUGGGGGCACUAGAGGACCUGCCAUGCCUGGGCUGCAUCUGCAGGAGCGGGACGGGGCGCCGGAUCACACGUCCAAAAGAUCUAUUUGUGUGCAUCAGUGGAUGGGCGAGGCUCGCAGGAAAUACAAAUUUAAUCUAAAAUGUGUUUCUUUACUCUCUGUGUGAGGGCAGGUUGCUCUUUUAUGAAUACCCAAGGAGUGCUUGAAAUGAUUCCCUGUUUUCCGAGACGCACUGUCAGACAUAAUGACCACCUGAAGGAACAAGAUGCUCAAGAAGGAUUAAACCCAGCAUGUUUGGGGCUGAACGCUUACAUUUCAUCUCGUUUCAAGAAAAGAAGAGUCCAGGAAAGCAACUGAAAACAAAGCCUGGGAUGCUCUAUGUGCCAUAUUUGUCACAUGCACACGUACAGUCCGUGGAGGGUUGUAGAGAGGAGGACCACAUCUUAAGGAGAGGUGUAUCUUCCAGUCCCUUUGAUGCCCCUGUGGCCUCCCCAAUGAAGAUAUUUUUCUGUAGUUCAAGUUAUAAACUGGCCUCAAUAAAAAGUAUGUGGUUCUAAAUAUUC